GACGAACGCUAGCGGCGUGCCUAAUACAUGCAAGUAGAACGCUGAAGAGAGGAGCUUGCUCUUCUUGGAUGAGUUGCGAACGGGUGAGUAACGCGUAGGUAACCUGCCUGGUAGCGGGGGAUAACUAUUGGAAACGAUAGCUAAUACCGCAUAAAAUUGAUUAUUGCAUGAUAAUUAAUUGAAAGAUGCAAUUGCAUCACUACCAGAUGGACCUGCGUUGUAUUAGCUAGUUGGUGAGGUAACGGCUCACCAAGGCGACGAUACAUAGCCGACCUGAGAGGGUGAUCGGCCACACUGGGACUGAGACACGGCCCAGACUCCUACGGGAGGCAGCAGUAGGGAAUCUUCGGCAAUGGGGGGAACCCUGACCGAGCAACGCCGCGUGAGUGAAGAAGGUUUUCGGAUCGUAAAGCUCUGUUGUAAGAGAAGAACGGGUGUGAGAGUGGAAAGUUCACACUGUGACGGUAUCUACCAGAA
rnacentral:rRNA from 1 species